GGAGGGGUGCCGGAGAGGCUGAUCGGGGCGCUCUCGAAAAGCGUUGUGCAGCAAUGCACCGUGGGUUCGAAUCCCACCCCCUCCG
rnacentral:tRNA from 1 species